CCCAUAGCUCAGCUGGCUAGAGCGUUCGGUUCGCAUCCGAGAGGUCGAGGGUUCGAAUCCCUUUGGGUCC
rnacentral:tRNA from 1 species